GAUGUACGCUGGCGGCGUGCCUAAUACAUGCCAGUCGAGCGAACAGACGAGGAGCUUGCUCCUCUGACGUUAGCGGCGGACGGGUGAGUAACACGUGGAUAACCUACCUAUAAGACUGGGAUAACUUCGGGAAACCGGAGCUAAUACCGGAUAAUAUAUUGAACCGCAUGGUUCAAUAGUGAAAGACGGUUUUGCUGUCACUUAUAGAUGGAUCCGCGCCGCAUUAGCUAGUUGGUAAGGUAACGGCUUACCAAGGCGACGAUGCGUAGCCGACCUGAGAGGGUGAUCGGCCACACUGGAACUGAGACACGGUCCAGACUCCUACGGGAGGCAGCAGUAGGGAAUCUUCCGCAAUGGGCGAAAGCCUGACGGAGCAACGCCGCGUGAGUGAUGAAGGUCUUCGGAUCGUAAAACUCUGUUAUUAGGGAAGAACAAAUGUGUAAGUAACUAUGCACGUCUUGACGGUACCUAAUCAGAAAGCCACGGCUAACUACGUG
rnacentral:rRNA from 1 species